rnacentral:rRNA from 1 species
ACUACGGGUGGCAGCAGUGAGGAAUAUUGGUCAAUGGGCUUACGCCUGAACCAGCCAAGUCGCGUGAGGGAAGACUGCCCUAUGGGUUGUAAACCUCUUUUGUCAGGGAGCAACGCCGGCUACGUGUAGCCGGACUGAGAGUACCUGAAGAAAAAGCAUCGGCUAACCCCGUGCCAGCAGCCGCGGGAAUACGGAGAAUGCGAGCUUUAUCCGGAUUUAGUUGGUUUAAAGGGUGCGGAUGCGGAAGAUACAGUCAGAGGUAAAAUUGAGAGGCUCAACCUCUUCGAGCCGUUGAAACUGGUUUUGUUGAGUGCGUGAGAAGUAUGCGGAAUGCGUGGUGUAGCGGUGAAAUGCAUAGAUAUCACGCAGAACUCCGAUUGCGAAGGCAGCAUACCGGCGCUCAACUGACGCUCAUGCACGAAAGUGUGGGUAUCGAACAGGAUUAGAUACCCGGGUAGUC